rnacentral:lncRNA from 1 species
CAAUGUGGGUGGCUCCUCACCAGGAUGGGGUCCUCAGCCCGAGGUUACUUCAGGCUGAAUACACAGGUGAUUCCAUAAGGUGAACCUGGAGCCUGGGCCCAUCCUGCCACCUGCCUUCAGGAGUGACGGGGUUAAAAUUUGAACUCUAAAAUCAAAGAAGCUCUAGAGACUGAGGCAGGAGGAGUGAAAGCCCAAGGCCCAUCUGGGCAACUUGGUGAACCAGUCUCAAAAUGAAAAUAAGAAACCUACAGUGUAGCUUGGUGGUAGAACACUCGCCUAGCAUGUGUGAAGAAGAGAAGUAAGUGGGUGUCCCUUGUCCCUAUCCCAUGUCCUCACCCUUAGUUUCUUAAAUGCUGUGAUCUUGAAGGUUAAUGUCUCUGGAUGUCACUGUUUAGACACAUUGUCUAGCAGAGCUGUCUCCUUCGACAGAGAUAUACCGCAGGCAAAGGGCCAUGUAGGGGACAAGUGGCCAUGCGAGGUCUGCAAUGCUGGGCCCUGAAGAGGAGGAGCCUGUUCCAAGCCUCACCUCCUUAGAGGCCCCCACUCCCCAGAACCUCAGCUCUAAGAGACGUGCUUGGAAAUUUCAAGACUGGACAGCAUAGUCAGAUUUGCCCCACAAACUUGGUGCAGGGUCCUUGCCAACUGCCCAGGCUGUGCCCCACAAGACCAGCCCUGCAGCCAAGCCUGGAAAACCACAGGACCUCAUGCUAAGUUAGAAAAGCAGCUUCAAUCUUGUCUCUAUAAUGACAUUACUGUUGUUAUUAAAAACAGACCCAGGCAUGGAGACAGACUCAGUGGAAGCUUGCAGGCUGCUGGCAUGGGCAGCCCCGAAGACCUUUCACCUGCCAAUUCCCACCUUCCACACCUGCUAUCCUCUCAACAGAACCCCCGGGAAAAAGCAAGAAUCAGGAGCCGAUGAGGGAAUACACCAGAACUUGCUUGUGAGGAGGAAAAGACACAAAGCUACCAUUUGUGCCUGCUCAGCUCCAGCUGAGGGGACCCAGGUGUGAUGGUAGCACCUGUAGCCCCAGAGACAUGGGAAGGAAGGUCAAGAACGUGAGGUCAGCUUCCGCCACAUAUCAUGAUUCAGAAGCCAGCCUGGGCUACAUGAGACAGGGCAGGCUGAGCAAGGGUUUAGGGAAACUGGAGUGGGGACUUCCUUCCCCACAUUAACUGCAGUAUCUACACAGCACUUGGGUCGUUGAGUGUUAUGAAAGAUGGCAUUAGGAGAGGGCCCUGAGCUCCAGUCCCUGAACUAAACCCUGUUCCCAUUCCGGAAGCUGCUGUGCGAUGAAAUUACCCUUGGACCAAUCAGAGGAGCCACUGCCUGAGGUCUCUUUCUAGGUGCACAGAUGAGAAGGUGGACCUGAGACUUCUCCACACUGACAGCUAAUUAGCAACACACGACUGUCGAAGCCAUUCUCCCCGAGACAGCCGAGGUCUGCGUGUCAACAGGACGCUCUGAGUUUUCAUCUCAACAACUCGUGAGUCAGGCUGACCCAAAGACAAUAGAAGAAGUCAUGGCACGCCAGAGCCAGUGGCCGAAGUGCCCACGUUCUGCAGUUUGAUGGGGCUGGAACUUGCUCUCCUUCUUCAAUCACAUCUGCGUCAGCUUUCCUUUGUAGACGGAUUCCUUCUGAGCUUAAGCUUUCCUUUAAUUCCUUUUCACAGGUU